rnacentral:rRNA from 1 species
AAUGAACGCUGGCGGCGCGCCUAAUACAUGCAAGUCGAGCGAGAAGAUGUAGCAAUACGUUUGUAAAGCGGCGAACGGGUGAGGAAUACAUGGGUAACCUACCCUAGAGUGGGGAAUAACUAGCCGAAAGGUUAGCUAAUACCGCGUACGCUCCUUGGACUUCGGUUCAGGGAGGAAAGCGAUGCCGAGGGUAUCGCGCUCUUGGAUGGGCUCAUGUCCUAUCAGCUGUUGGUGAGGUAACGGCUCACCAAGGCUUCGACGGGUAGCUGGUCUGAGAGGACGAUCAGCCACACUGGCACCGCGACACGGGCCAGACUCCUACGGGAGCAGCAGUAAGGAAUAUUGCGCAAUGGGCGAAAGCCUGACGCAGCGACGCCGCGUGGGGGAUGAAGGUCUUCGG